UCUAAUAACACUAUCAUCUCUUUUUCCUCUUCAAGGAAACAGUUCCAUCACAAAUUAAAUUUCACAAAUAUGAGAACAUCAGUUAAAGGGCUAAUCUCCAAAACUAUUCUUUACAACAUCACAACGUCCUUUUUUGCAAUAUCAAAUAUCAAGCAAAUUAGUUUUUACAGAAAUCUAAUUCUCAUGAAUAAGGAAUACUUAUUGCACUGUUGUCUGGACGUUUGUUAUUCACAGUAUAACAUAACUUGCUAAUGAAAAUUUAAAAAUGAGUAACAAGCAUACGUCUGAAUGACAGUGAUCUGGAGAAGUUUGUUUGUUCAUCACUGUAAAAAAAAAAACAUCCUCUCAGCUCUCUAUCGUAACUAUCAGGCAGCGAUACUCCUUCCUGUUCAGUGCUGAAGUUAUUGAUCUGCAUAAGCAGCACAUGGCUAAUUGAAUAUUCAUGAGAUAAGCACGGUCGAGCCGGUUAGCAUUCUAAAGGCUAUCCAGGCUAGCAGCGGUGAAGGCGUAAAGCUGAUGGAGGGAUAAAAAAACAAAGGGACAGCACAAAACUGCCAACACACGGAGGACAACACCUAACUAUUACUGGACCACAGGACAACACCUAACUAUUACUGGACCGGAGGAGCCAUUUUUCACGGCUGGAUGUUUAAGUUUAAGAUGAACAGCGGCUGCAGCUAAAUUCAUUGGCUUAUGAAGAUCAUAAGAUCGUCAAUGGUGUAUUGACUGUGGAAUAGCAGCUAUGAGUAUAACGCCUGACCGACCACUGCGACCACCACCACACGCCAUUGCCGUGGCGGGUGUGGCCGGCCCACUCCACUGGGCGUGCUGCAGGUGCCCCGGCUGCCCACAACAGCCGGCUGACACGUCACACACGGGCUGCCGGCGUGACGCUUCUAAGGAAGGCGAUGGUGCUCACUGUCAAGCAAGCUUUCAUCCUGGUGAAGUUUGAGAAGUCUCAUGGCGUUAAUGACACCCUGGACACAGAGCUCGUCCCGAAUUCCAACCACAACGAGGAGGAGGAGACUCACAUCCUCAUUGUGGAGGGCUUCCUGCUUUACACCUACAGGCUGUAGAUCGACGUGCUACAGCAACGUUACUUUAUUUCCAUCUCAUAUGAAGAAUGAAAAAAGAGGAGGUGCUCUAGGAAGUCCACGGUGCCAGACCCCCCUGGCCUGUUCAAUGGACACGUCUGGACCAUGGACCUGCAACACAAGAACAUGUGCUCACUAUGAAAGAUUAUUGAGGGCAGCUUUUUGAGAUUUCUUUGCAGAACACUAUGAUGUUUGCUGAGCUGUGCACAAUUAAAUGACUUAAGAAUAUGGAGUAUUUUUACUGUUUGUUAUUGUUCACAGGUUUACUAUUAAAUGUACAGAGUGCUAAUUACUGUAUUUUAAAAUUUAAAUUACUGCACAGAACAUUUCAGAUUUUAUCACAGAUCAAGGGUACAGAUUAUUGUUGUUUACUGUGUAUUGGGUAGUACUCAUUUUGAUUUAGACUGAUUAGGAUACAGAACCUUAUGUUUAUGGUUUACAGCUGAGAACUAGUUGAUAAAAGUACAGAAUAUUAUUUCUUAUUUUAGGUGACAAUUGUCAGUAAAUGGACAAGGUUGUAUAUAGUGCUGUUCUUGCACUAUAUUUGUCACUUAAUUGCCCUCAAGAUACAGUCGUUGAGCUUACCAGUUUUACAUAACAGGCAGAUGCUGCAGCUAAUGAUGCUGUAAUUCAUAUAAACGAGGAAACAAGUCCAUCAUAAUUUGAAUGUAAACAGUCCAAAAUGAAAAGGUCAUAUACAGCUUUCCUAUUGGGUUAAAGAGCCAAAAAACAUGAAAAAUACUUUGUAGGUAGCAGGUUUCAUUUUUUUCUUAUAACUUUUUGGUGGCCCCCCAAAAUAUCUGUUGUACCCCCCUGUGCUGCCCUGCUAAAAUUAAUCUGGAUCCGCCCCUGGAUUUGCAUCCCUAAAAAGUAGGGAUGUCCGAUAUUAUCGCCCCCGAUAUUGGCAUAAAAAUGUAGUAUCGGUCAGUAUCAUUAUCGUUCUUUUUGCCUGUCAUGAAAACCGCUAAAAUAAUGCCUGGAUUAUGGACUCAUAGAGGGAGGGAGAGUGUGAACUGUUGUUUGACACAAUUAAAAAAAUAAUAAUCUGGCAUAAAUAUGGCAUUUUUUCCAAGACUUAAGUUGAAGUAGUUUUAUUUUGCACAGACAAUGUUUACAUUUUGAAAGCCUCGUUGCAUUUGAGAAUGCAUCACAAUAAAAUUAGGCAUGAUGUGUUAAUUCCACGAUAUAUGUGAUGUUACCUACAAUUAGUUAACCCUCCUGUUGUUCUCAUUUACAGGGACCAAAAAAUAUUGUUUCCUUGUCUGAAAAAAAUCCAAGAAUUCAGCAAAAAUUCCCAAAAUUGCUGAAAAUUUACAAAACCUUCAGGAAGAAAAUUUCUUAAAAGUUUCCCUUAAAAGUUUCAUUUUAAAAUAAUCCCCCAAAUUUGGCAAGAAAAUUCUUGUAAAUAUUUUCAAAAAACGAGUAAAUCUUCCAAAAGCAAAUCAUUUAAAUAUCUAAAGUGAUUACAUAUAUAUAUAUCAGUUAAACUAUUUCUUUAAGAACAUUCACACAAAAAAAAUCAACCAAAAUCCAUAGACUGUGUACAGUCUAUGGCAGAAACCAAAGGGACAUCACAGUAGCCACGUCCAGCUAAAACGGCUGGAUUUUGGUUGAUUUUUUUGUGAAUGUUAUUCAGAAACAUUUCUAAUAUUUUUUUCCAGCAAAAAUGUUUCGAAAAUGUGGACAUUGGAAGUUUCAUUGUGAAAAUAUUUUUCCUCCCCACAAUUUCAAACUUUAAAACGGGUCAAUUUUGACCCGCAGGACAAAUUUUGACACGGCAUAUCGGUUAUCGGCAAAAAGGCCAAUAUUGGACAUCCAUGCUAAAAAGCGAUUGCAAAUGGUGCUGAGAAAGUUUAAAAGACGUUGGAAACCAAGUAAGCUACACAAAAAACAUUUUGCACCAUCUUUAUACAAUCUAAGUGGCAAAGAAACCCAAAAUAAUGAUUUGAUUGAUGUGCUUUUGUGUACUUUUCAAAGGAAUCCACAAAGUCUAGAAUGACUUUUCAGACAGACGUAGUUUUUAAACAGCAUUUAUUUAGCUUUCUCCAUACAAUACAUUUAAUGUACAACAGCACAUACUGUAUUUUGAAAUAACUCUCAGUAUAAAAUAGGGCUUCUACAAUCAAGGUACAGUCAUAAAAUGCUCUGAGGGA